AAGAGCAAGAAGCAGCAGGACUCCACCUACCCCAUCAAAAAUGAGGUUGCCAGUGGAAUGAUUCUAGUAAUGGCCUUUUUCCUCAUCACGUACACAUUCCACUCUACCUGGGUGACCAGUGAGGCCUACUCCUCUCCUUCAAUUGUCUUGUCUGCUCGAGGAGGCGACGGCAGCCGCAUCAUCUUUGAUGACUUCAGAGAGGCUUACUAUUGGCUCCGCCACAAUACUCCUGAUGAUGCUAAAGUCAUGUCCUGGUGGGAUUAUGGGUAUCAGAUAACGGCAAUGGCCAACCGAACAAUUCUAGUAGACAACAACACGUGGAACAACACGCAUAUCCAGAGUUGGGCAGGCCAUGGCGUCCACGGAAGAGAGAGCUUACGAGAUCAUGAGGGAACUGGAUGUCAGUUAUGUCCUGGUUAUAUUUGGAGGACUGACAGGCUACUCCUCAGAUGACAUAAAUAAAUUUCUCUGGAUGGUGCGUAUCGGAGGGAGCACAGACACUGGCAGGCACAUCAAGGAGCACGACUACUACCCACCGGGGAAUUCAGAGUGGACCGUGAGGGCUCGCCUGUCCUGCUCAACUGUCUCAUGUACAAGAUGUGCUACUACCGCUUUGGUCAGGUCUACACAGAGGCCAAGCGCCCCCCUGGCUAUGACAGAGUGAGGAACGCUGAAAUUGGGAAUAAAGACUUUGAACUGGAUGUGUUGGAGGAGGCCUACACGACAGAGCACUGGUUGGUUAGGAUAUACAAGGUAAAAGAUUUGGACAAUCGAGGCCUUUCAAGGACGUAAAACCUUCAGAGGGAAGUCAAACAACAUUUUAGCGCACAGCACUGAAUGCCUUCCCCUGUGGCUGAAAAGUACUUUUAUACUUUUGUCUUGGGGGAGAUGAUUGCAUCAGAGAUUCUUUUUUUUUUUCUUUCUUUCUUUCUUUCUUUUUUGUAAGAAUGAAAUGUUUCAUCUGUGAUCAGAGGAAGUGUUCUGUGCCAUAAUGUGGCUAAAAAACAAAACUGUGUUCAUUUAAGAGCGCUUUGGAUUUUUACAUUAUGGUCAAAUAAAGUCUGGUUAAACAUUAAAAAA